rnacentral:rRNA from 1 species
AUGGAGGCGGUGGAUCUAACAACUAUGAAAAAGUUAUUGUGUUCUCCUAGACCAAGUGCAGACUAUUUGGCUGGCGUAGAUGGUUUUCUUGCUUUUGCAUACACUGGAAAAAGUUCGGAUGCCAAGAUCCAUUGUCCAUGCGUCAAAUGUGUCAAUAGGAACUUGUUGAAGCGGGACACCGUAUAUGAUCAUUUGGUGUGUGAUGGAAUGCUACUUGGAUACGCUGUUUGGGGUUGUCAUGGUGAAACUGCAGGAUACAUCUCCUCUAACAAACAAAAAAGGUCAAAACAGGAAGGCAUAAACUCUAAUAUGCGCCAGCUAGUACAUGAUGUUUUCGGGAACAUAUAUAAUGGGUCUCAAGUGAAUGACUUUGAUGACCCAAACCCUCCACAACAUAGGCCAGAUCCUGAAACCCAAGCCUUUUAUGACUUGAUGAGAGAAGCAGAUGUACCUUUGUGGAAAAGGAUAUUAGAUUGCUCGCCCUGGGCCCAAUUAAUGCAGCCAAAAGAUAUUGCGCUUUCAACUCCCGAGGCUACCAUUUUAGGCCUAAACGCUUGGAUAAAGAGACACAAAAUAGUGGAGUCAUGGUAA